rnacentral:rRNA from 1 species
AUUGAACGCUGGCGGAAUGCUUUACACAUGCAAGUCGAGCGGCAGCGCGGGGGCAACCCUGGCGGCGAGCGGCGAACGGGUGAGUAACAUAUCGGAACGUACCCUGUCGUGGGGGAUAACUAUCCGAAAGGAUAGCUAAUACCGCAUACGACCUGAGGGUGAAAGCGGGGGACCGCAAGGCCUCGCGCGAUAGGAGCGGCCGAUAUCGGAUUAGCUAGUUGGUGAGGUAAAGGCUCACCAAGGCGACGAUCCGUAGCGGGUCUGAGAGGACGACCCGCCACACUGGAACUGAGACACGGUCCAGACUCCUACGGGAGGCAGCAGUGGGGAAUUUUGGACAAUGGGGGCAACCCUGAUCCAGCCAUUCCGCGUGAGUGAAGAAGGCCUUCGGGUUGUAAAGCUCUUCAGCAGGAACGAAACGGUGAGGGUUAAUACCCUUUACUAAUGACGGUACCUGAAGAAGAAGCACCGGCUAACUACGUGCCAGCAGCCGACGGUAAAGUAGACGUCU